rnacentral:rRNA from 1 species
GGGCCCGCACAAGCGGUGGAGCAUGUGGUUUAAUUCGAUGCAACGCGAAGAACCUUACCAGGGCUUGACAUACUACGAAUUCUUUAGAGAUAGAGAAGUGCCUUCGGGAAUGUAGAUACAGGUGGUGCAUGGCUGUCGUCAGCUCGUGUCGUGAGAUGUUGGGUUAAGUCCCGCAACGAGCGCAACCCUUGUUUUAGUUACUAAUUCGUUAGGUUUUCUAGAAAGACUGCCGGUGACAAACCGGAGGAAGGUGAGGAUGACGUCAAGUCAGCAUGCCCCUUAUGUCCUGGGCUACACACGUGCUACAAUGGCUAAGACAAAGAGUCGCGAGCUCGCGAGAGUCAGCUAAUCUCAUAAACUUAGCCUAAGUUCAGAUUGUAGGCUGCAACUCGCCUACAUGAAGUUGGAAUCGCUAGUAAUCG